UUUUCUAUCUUGCCCCGUAUUAUCCUUUUUCAUGGUACUGAAGAUUUCACAAUACCACCACAUGCAAGUAUAACUUUUGUGGAGACUCUCAAGAGAAUUGGUGUGCCAGCUGAUCUAAUACUAUACAAAGGAAAAACCCAUACAGAUUUAUUUGUUCAAGAUCCUCUAAGAGGUGGUAAAGACGAGCUAUUUGACUAUAUAGUCGAUUACAUACAUGCUGGUGAUGUUGAUGCGCUUGCUAAGGUUGCUAUUUGA